GGUCUGUGAGGACUGUUAUUCCAGGAUAUAUGUAGAGCAGAUCCUGUGAACAUGACCCAGAUAGUAAAGUGGGGUCAGAAGGAGCAGCACUAAAACAAAAAACAACCAGCAAAACAAGACUUUUAUAUCUUGACAUCAGUAAUGUUAGUUCAGUCACCAUUGCCCGGAUACAGUAAUGCUUUAGGGUUGGGGUCGGAAUGAACAGUGAAACAAGAUGAUAUGAAGGGUGACUGUUGCAUCAUACCGGUCUGUAAACAAUGAGGGAGCUCGAGAGGAGGGAAAUUGAAAUUGAUUGAUAUAUCAUAGACACCAAGCAAUAUUAUACCUACAUGUAUCUAUCACUGAAAGACCUUAUCAUUGUCUGAACAAAUUGAAGAGUGCAUGGGGCUCUGAUUUUUAAGUUUGUUUUUUUUUGGGGGUGGUUUUUUUUUUUGAAGUUUUACUAUUAAAUUGGGUUGUAUCGCUAAAAAAUUAAAAAUUUUGAUACAUGUAUCAUUUCAAUCAAAAGCAAUUUCUUUCCAUGCAGUUUUUUACAGCUGUUAAUAUUGUAUGUCGGUAGAAGGGAAUAUUUUAUCACUAUAAAUGAAAUGAACUGGAAACUGCUGCUAAAGUCAGGUCUUACUGUUACUUUAAAAAUAAACCAUUUUGAUAACUUCUGAGAUUGGCCAUGUCUUCCUAUAAUGCUUGUAAAUGAUGAAGUCAGUCUAUGAAUUUCAGGGAUACAGUCAAGUCAUUAUAUUGCGGUGAUGUUACUGAAGUUUUUCUACCAUAAAUAUUGGGAUUAGUCGAGUCAUUCUACAUGUAUAACAUUUUGGGAAUAACCAAGUCAUUAUAUAAUUCUUUUGAAUUUAUAGCCAAGUCAUUUUAUUACUUUUGGAAAGAAACAGGUCUUUCUAUUUUUCUUGGGAUUUUAUCAAAUUUUCCUGUAGCUUUUGGGAUUUGUCAUACCAUUGUGUUACUCUUUGGAGCCAGCGAAGAGAUGUGUUAAAUAUUUCUUAUACAAAUUACUUUGUUUUUCAAUGGUAUAUGUAUUCAAGUCCUGAUGGACACAGCAUCAAAAGCUGACUUGAAAUUGUUAUAAGCACAAGUUUUUGAAUGGACUGUCUUUUUAUGUGUUUGCUAUAAUCUUCAUUUCAUUACAGAUAGUAUGAACUUUAAAAACGCAUGAACUUGUGCGUUGCAAUAAAGUUGUUUAAAUUACUCAUGUGAACAUCAAUAAUAUAUGUCUUCUUGUGAUACUUUUUCAUUUGUUGAAUUAUAUAUUUCAUUUUAUACAUUAAAACAACAGAAAA
rnacentral:sRNA from 1 species